AGCUCCAAUAGCGUAUAUUAAAGUUGCUGCGGUUAAAAAGCUCGUAGUUGGAUCUCAGUUGCGGACAGGUGGUUCACCUCACGGUGCUACUGCCUGGUCCGAACCUAUGGCUGGUUCCUCUGGGGUGCCCUUCACUGGGUGCUCCAGGAGACCAGAGCGUUUACUUUGAAAAAAUUGGAGUGCUUAAAGCAGGCGAACGCCUGUACAUUCGUGCAUGGAAUAAUGGAAAAGGGCCUCGGUGCUACUUUGUUGGUUCUCGGUACUCGAGGUAAUGGUUGAAAGGGACAGACGGGGGCAUUCGUAUUGCGACGUUAGAGGUGAAAUUCUUAGAUCGUCGCAAGACGGACUACUGCGAAAGCAUUUGCCAAGAAUGUUUUCA
rnacentral:rRNA from 1 species